rnacentral:rRNA from 1 species
AUUGAACGCUGGCGGCAUGCUUUACACAUGCAAGUCGAACGGUAACAGCACUUCGGUGGCUGACGAGUGGCGAACGGGUGAGUAAUGUAUCGGAACGUGCCCAGUAGUGGGGGAUAACUACUCGAAAGAGUGGCUAAUACCGCAUGAGAUCUCUGGAUGAAAGCGGGGGACCGUAAGGCCUCGCGCUACUGGAGCGGCCGAUAUCAGAUUAGGUUGUUGGUGGGGUAAAGGCCUACCAAGCCUGCGAUCUGUAGCUGGUCUGAGAGGACGACCAGCCACACUGGGACUGAGACACGGCCCAGACUCCUACGGGAGGCAGCAGUGGGGAAUUUUGGACAAUGGGCGCAAGCCUGAUCCAGCAAUGCCGCGUGCAGGACGAAGGCC